rnacentral:lncRNA from 1 species
UCCCAUACCAAGUCGUUACGUAAGGAAAAUAGCAAACGUGGUGACAUACAUCUCGAUGCUUACUACAAUUUAGUUAUUGUUUUAGAGGAAGGGCAAAACGUGAUGACGUAGUCAGUAGACUUUGGACACGUGAAGGUGCUCUUAUUGUCGUCAUAGGCGUAAAUAUGAGCGAGCGGGCAAGCACGGUUGAAGUUCCGAGUGUACACUGUUGGCUUGCAGUUUUGCCUUGAAUUGUAGUCAAGGGUGCAGCAAAUCUCCGGCGUAUUGGACGCCUGGCACGCGCUACUACAUGCAACUGGAUCGCCUAUGGUUGAAACUCUCACAAGAUCUUUUGGGCAAGUCUUGUUCAGGUCAACCUCGCAACCACUACUGCUACAUGUGCGGCUACUCUUUGACGGUACCACCAUUAGUGGAAGGUUGUAACCGUACUCGACACUGACGGUGUGGCUGUUGACUCUGCCAUUAUCGAUUCUAAAGUAGGCAUAGGUCACCGGAGCCCAACUGUAUGAGCCGGGACACUCGAUCUUGCCGGAUUCACAGUCUCCAGUGGCGCACUUAAGUUAUACAUAAUUUUCAUAAAAUAUAUUUACAUAUCUAAGAAAACAACCACCUAAAUGCAAAUAAGAAAUUAGUUAAAAUUUUAAAUAUUUAGAAUAAAAAUAUUAGAGUUGAAUUCAAAGAUGCAAUCCAAUUUACCGAACUGAUGACUAAAUCAACUCUCGCAACAACAAAAUCGAUUAGAUAUAACAGAUAUAAAAUCAUAUGUAUAAUUAAAAUAAUAUAAUAUUAUUAAUAUAAAUGAUGCAUACAAAUUAUAAAUUAAUUUAAAAUUAAAAGUAAAUAACAAUCAAUUAUUAUAGUAUAUUUACUUAAGAAAUAUUUAUACACGCACACGGGAAAAUUACCUAGCUAUAUAUUUAUAUAUAUAUAUAUAUAUAUUUAUACAGUAUUUAGCAUAAGUAUAUUAUUUAUAUUGUAAUAAUUAUUUGGAUCAAUAUUUCCAAUAUUAUUUAUAUUGUAAUAAUUAUUUUGAUCUUAUUUAAUAUUGUAAUAAUUAUUUGGAUCAAUAUUUCCAAUAAAAAUUCAGAGAAAUUGGCUAUAAUAUUAGUCAUUAUAAUCAUAAACUAAAUAUAAGAUAAACAUAAUUAUGAUAUUAUCGGUAAAUAUUGGUAAUAUCAUUUUUAUAUCUUUUUUAUUAAUUAAUGUCCUAAAUCUCAUGAGGUUAAUGUUUAUUAAUUAUCUUAAAUAUUAUAAUAAAUGUAUAUAUAUUAAAAUAAAAGUUUUAAUAAAAUAAUAAUAAUGAAACUAAUGAUUUAUCCUAAAAUCAUGGAGAAAAUUACAUAUAAGCAAAUUCACUUCUCAAAUAAUAGUAUAGAUAGAUAGAUUCAGAUCGGAUAUCCGGCUUUCAAAAAAAUAAUAUUUAUGAUUUGCUUCGUAAAGAUUUUUACGGAUAUCACAUUUUGCUAUUUGCUUUGAUUUGAAACUUUAGAGAUAUUCGAAAUUUUCAGAUCAAAUCGAACAAAAUAACGAAUUGGAUCAAAUUUAAAAGAUAAUUUGUCCAGCCCUAAAGAUAAUUUUUACGGAUAUCACAUUGUCUAUAUGGAUUUGAGCAGUAUCAUAGAUAAAUUUAGUCAUGCAAAUCCAAAUUUGUUAUAUCUUACUUAUUAUCUUUUCUUACAUCAAAGGCACCACAUGCUAUAAAUUAUGCUCCCAUACCAAGUCGUUACGUAAGGAAAAUAGCAAACGUGGUGACAUACAUCUCGAUGCUUACUACAAUUUAGUUAUUGUUUUAGAGGAAGGGCAAAACGUGAUGACGUAGUCAGUAGACUUUGGACACGUGAAGGUGCUCUUAUUGUCGUCAUAGGCGUAAAUAUGAGCGAGCGGGCAAGCACGGUUGAAGUUCCGAGUGUACACUGUUGGCUUGCAGUUUUGCCUUGAAUUGUAGUCAAGGGUGCAGCAAAUCUCCGGCGUAUUGGACGCCUGGCACGC